UACAGAGGUCCCAAGCGUUGUUCGGAUUCACUGGGCGUAAAGGGUGCGUAGGUGGUGAGGUAAGUCGGAUGUGAAAUCUCCGAGCUCAACUCGGAAAUGGCAUUGGAAACUACCUUGCUCGAGGGUUGGAGGGGGGACUGGAAUUCCUGGUGUAGCGGUGAAAUGCGCAGAUAUCAGGAGGAACACCGGUGGGGAAGGCGGGUCCCUGGGCCGAUACUGACGCUGAGGAGCGAAAGCGUGGGGAGCGAACAGG
rnacentral:rRNA from 1 species